AGCAGCCGCGGUAAUUCCAGCUCCAAUAGCGUAUAUUAAAGUUGUUGCAGUUAAAAGCUCGUAGUUGAACUUCAGGCCUGUCCAGAUGGUCCGCCUUAAUUGGUGUGUACUGUCCUUGGGUGGGUCCUACCUUCUGGCGAAGCGGCAUGGCCUUAAUUGGUUGUGUUGGGGAACCAGGACUUUUACUGUGAAAAAAUUAGAGUGUUCAAAGCAGGCAAAUAUGCUCGAAUACAUUAGCAUGGAAUAAUGGAAUAGGACGAUGGUUCUAUUUUGUUGGUUCUAGGACCGUUGUAAUGAUUAAUAGGGAUAGUUGGGGGCAUUAGUAUUCAAUUGUCAGAGGUGAAAUUCUUGGAUUUAUUGAAGACUAACUACUGCGAAAGCAUUUUGCCAAGGAUGUUUUCAUUAAUCAAGAACGAAAGUUAGGGGAUCGAAGACGAUCAGAUACCGUCGUAGUCUUAACCAUAAACUAUGCCGACUAGGAAUCGGGCGAUGUUGAUCAAAAUGACUCGCUCGGCACCUC
rnacentral:misc_RNA from 1 species